rnacentral:lncRNA from 1 species
CUUAUCAAAAAUUAUUUCUAAAAUCGAAUCGUCCCUCUGCCGCUCUACGCCUACUAUGCCGCAAUCGAUGAUGGAAGACUUUGUAUUCACAAGGUUACAAAGGUCGAACACUUUAAGGUUGUCUUCCUCAACGUUCAACUAAUCCAUCCUAUCGUUCAGAAAGUUUUCUUGUCUUCUUGAAUCUUAGAUAGUAAGAAACAUCCACAUCUCAGUUUCUAUUCGGUAAACUCAAAUUCGAUUCUCUCCCUCUCUCAUUAUCUGAUUUUUGCUUGUUUUAGUUUGUAAAAAUCACAGUUUUUUUUUUUUUUUUUUUUUUUUUUUUUUUUUUUUUUUUUUNCUCUUGGAAUCUGGUUUUUUCUGAUUUUUGUUAGAACUCAGAAUUUAGAUUUCGGUUUGGAAUCUGAUUUCCUUUUGAAAUGACUAUCUGUUUUCUGAUUUUUCUUGGAACUUAGAAAUCUGAUUUCUGUUUUUAAAGUUUUAAAGGUUUUUGUUUUGGAAUCUGGUUGUUGUUUUGAAUUUUGAUUUUUUUUUUUCAUUCGUUAGUGACUAUUUGCAUUUCUGAUAUAGAGAAAUAUAAUUUAGUACAACAAGAAUUUUGGGAACGAGCAUCAUAAGUCUUACCAUAUUCAACCUUUUCAAUUUCAAUUUAUAUAGUAUUUUCUUGUAACUUUUUUUAUUUUAUUUUAUUUUUUUUUUUUUACUUUUUUUUUUCAUCACAAUUUAAGUAAUUCAUUGAAUCAACAUUAUCCUAAGUCCAAGGAAUAGGCUCUUCCCUAACCUUUUGUUUUGCAAUCCUCUUCAUUGCAUUGAAAAUUUUGAAACAAUUACAAAUAAAUAACUCGUGAACUGAUUGGAAUUUUUUUUAAUUAAAUAUAGUAUUAAAUUGAUGAAGAACUCUUACAUUUUGUUAUUGAUGCCUUUAGAAUUCGAUUGAGAAACGUGAUCUUUUGAGUUUGUCAGCCUUGAGAUGGAAUAAGAUAUUGUUUGCUCUGAUUAUUUUAUUUGCUUAAACGUACAUCUUUAUCAUUGCUUAUUUUGUUGACAGAGUUGACAUUAUCCACUAAUACUUUUGGGGUUUUGCGGAUUGGUUUCGUUGAUUGGGGGUUUUUGUGGAUUGGUUACUUACUGUUCCUCAACUUGACAAAAUCAAGAUCAUAAAACCAAUCAGGGAUUUGAGGUUUUUUUAGAGUUAUCAAGAAUCUUAAGAAUGUUUGAAUUGGGGGGUUGAAGGUAAAAGUAAAGAUCAUCAAACCAGUCCACAAAAAACCCUAAUCCACAAAAUCAAUCACUAAAACCCCCCUAAUUCAAAAGCAUCUAUAGUGAAUGUGUCAACAAAAAGUAAACAGAUAAAGAUGUAUGCUCAAGCAAAAAAUCAGGGUCAACAAUAUCUUAUUCCACCGCCAAUAAAAUCAGAAGAUCACAAUUUCAAAAUCUAAUUCUAAAGGCUUCAGUGGCAAGGGUUCUUCAUCAAUUUAAUAUUAUGUUUAAUUACAAAAAUAUCAAAUAGUUCACGAGUUAUUUAUUUGUUUCAAAAGCUUCGGUGAUACAUUAAAGAAGAUUUUGAAACAAAAAGCUAGGGAAGAGCGUAUUUCUUCGAUUUCAGAUAAUGUUGAUUCUAUGCAUUACUUAACGUGUGAUGAAAAAGAAGAAAGAGGUUGGAAGGAAAUAAUGAUAAGUUGAAAAUCUAUCCGUAGAGUUAUUCCAAACACCGUUUAUAGUCGAGCUCCAUGACUUCAG